UACGGAGGGUGCAAGCGUUAUCCGGAAUCACUGGGUUUAAAGGGUGCGUAGGCGGCCAACUAAGUCAGACGUGAAAUCCCUCGGCUUAACCGGGGAACUGCGUCUGAUACUGGAUGGCUUGAGUUUGGGAGAGGGAUGCGGAAUUCCAGGUGUAGCGGUGAAAUGCGUAGAUAUCUGGAGGAACACCGGUGGCGAAGGCGGCAUCCUGGACCAACACUGACGCUGAGUGAGCGAAAGCCAGGGGAGCAAACGGG
rnacentral:rRNA from 1 species